rnacentral:rRNA from 1 species
CGCGAACUGUAUUCUUGAGUGCAUUCGACGCUGGCGGAUUUCGUGUGUAGCGGUGAAAUGCUUAGAUAUCACGAAGAACUCCGAUUGCGAAGGCAGCCGCGAGACUGUAACUGACGUUAAAGCUCGAAAGUGCGGGUAUCGAACAGGAUUAGAUACCCUGGUAGUCCGCACGGUAAACGAUGGAUGCCCGCUGUUUGCGAUAUAGUGUAAGCGGCCAAGCGAAAGCGUUAAGCAUCCCACCUGGGGAGUACGCCGGCAACGGUGAAACUCAAAGGAAUUGACGGGGGCCCGCACAAGCGGAGGAACAUGUGGUUUAAUUCGAUGAUACGCGAGGAACCUUACCCGGGCUUGAACUGCAGGAGAACGAUACAGAGAUGUUGAGGCCCUUCGGGGCUCCUGUGGAGGUGCUGCAUGGUUGUCGUCAGCUCGUGCCGUGAGGUGUCGGCUUAAGUGCCAUAACGAGCGCAACCCCUUUCGUCAGUUGCCAUCAGGUGAUGCUGGGCACUCUGGCGACACUGCCACCGUAAGGUGUGAGGAAGGUGGGGAUGACGUCAAAUCAGCACGGCCCUUACGUCCGGGGCUACACACGUGUUACAAUGGGUGGUACAGAGAGUCGGUGCAUGGCAAUGUGCAUCCAAUCAUGAAAGCCAUCCUCAGUUCGGAUUGGGGUCUGCAACCCGACCCCAUGAAGCUGGAUUCGCUAGUAAUCGCGCAUCAGCCAUGGCGCGGUGAAUACGUUCCCGGGCCUUGUACGCACCGCCCUA